UAUAAAAGGCACCAGCAGAGAACCCUGUU
rnacentral:piRNA from 1 species